CGGUUAAGUUAUUAAGGGCGCACGGUGGAUGCCUUGGCACUAGGAGCCGAUGAAGGACGGGACUAACACCGAUAUGCUUCGGGGAGCUGUAAGUAAGCUUUGAUCCGGAGAUUUCCGAAUGGGGAAACCCACUGCUCGUAAUGGAGCAGUAUCCUUAUC
rnacentral:rRNA from 1 species